AUUGCAUUGAAGACUUUUUUCUUUUUGUCCAUUGCACUUUUCUCGCAAAGUAGAUAACUAAGGGUGAAAAUGAAAAUACGAUAAAAUACACACAGGGGAUAGUAAGAGAUUAACCUUAAUUAAAGGGGGUUUAAGGGGUGAACUUAUCCUCUGCUAUCGUCACACUUUAUUUGCUUGCGUGUGCAUGACGUGCCGCAAAAAAAGGGAAUAAAAGAAUUGGAGAGAGAAGUAGUGGAAAAGAGACAGACGAGGGACGUGAAACAACGUAGACGAAGAGUCCACAGAAAGAAUAGUCUAAUACAAGAAGUACAUUGGCAGGAUGAUUCCUGAAUUACGUAUAUUGUACUAGGUCUGCACCCUCACAGGGUGUUGCGCAAUCUCACAAAAUCUACCGCUGAUUUUGCUGCUUUUCAGAAGUAUGAGGUAUCAUUUAAUGCUCAAAUGAUGACAUGAUAAAUGCAUUUGUGAUGGGAGAAAUUGCAAAUGUGACGAAAGGUGAGGAUUGUGUUUAUGUAGAAGGAAAUUUUUUUGAAAUAAAAACUUUGUGGAAAAUUGAUGGAGUGUAUAAAACCACCCUAUAUUUGGGAGCAAUAGAGUGCGCGCGCAUACUCUAUCGACCGGCCGUCUAAAAGGGCGGAACUCCUUUUUCUCUGGUUGCAAGUCAGCCAGGAUUUCAGUCGGUGCGAAAUUUUCAUGAAAAAUCAGUCAUUCCCAUUAAGAAUUCCGAGUUUAAAAGAUUUUAAAAAAUCUUCCAAGUGCACAGACAUUUGGUAUUUGUUGGUAAAUGGGGUGUGGUGGCGGUGCGUGAAGUGGCAAAGUGUUAAAAAAGAAAAAAUGAUUGAGCCCCCUUGAGGUGUCCGACAUACCCGGAAAGUGAGAAAUACAUGGAUUGAAUGGCUCCAAAAAUGAUCAAAUUGUGUAUUUUUUUCAUUAGUAACACCGCAAAAACGUGCUUAAUGACGUACACCCCAUGGAAGCUUCAUUUCCCUGUUUAGCCAAUCUUUUCAGUCGUGAUGUGGAAUAUAAAAGACGCAAAGACUAAUUACAUGGGUGUGUACAUGGUAAAUGGUGCUUGUGUGGCUCAAAGUCUGCUGUAAAGAAAUGUUAAAUUUAAUUUUGAUUAAUUCUCCUAAAGCCAAAAAAACAACAAAAUCUUUAAUACCAAAAAGUGCGUGAUUUUAUUGAAAAAAGAAAAAGAUAUACUGUAAAAAGGAAUUGGUAGAACAUUCCAAAAUUUUGGGGAUGGUGGUUUGAGAAAGAUCCCUCUAGAGGGUAUGGGUGGAGUAUCCGCACCGCAGCAACACACUUGCAAACUAAUAAUUCAUUUUUUUUUUAAUUAUAAAGAAAAAUGAUAAAAUGAUUGAAGACAUUAAUGUGGGAAAAAGAAACUAAUAUGGCGAAUAUAAAAGUAAAAGAAAGUGUAUUUAUCAAAGCGUGAUUGAGACUGCUAUAAGUCAAAUAUUAUCAAUAUCCUUGUGAUGUUAAUCCGGUGGAAGAGUAAAGAUAAGAAUUCAUCCUCGUCGUCAUCGUCGAGUAGCUCCAAGAAGAAACGCAAUAAAAGUCGAGAUGGAAGUACAGGAGGAGGAGGAAGUAGCAGCGGUACCACCGGGGGAGGAGGUAAAAUUUUUUAAAGACCCUACAUAUUUUUUCAUGUCACGAAAUAUAUUAAAAUUUUCAUACCUUCUCAUUUUGCGCAUUUAUUUUUCUUUUUGAUUAAAACAUUUUUUUUUUUUUCAAAAAAAAAUUUAGUUUUUUACCCAACAAAAACCCUUCAUAAAGCUUUUGCAUUGAGAUUUUUAAUUUAUCAAAAAAGUAAUUAAAUGGAAACAUCAAAGCCCUGUGAGGCAUGCGUUUUAUGCAUUUUAAGGGAAAAUAAUGUACAAGCAGGGGCGUGGUUUUUCGGUAAAUCUUUCCUGAAUUUUCCAAUUGUGAAAAAUUGGAAAUCUGGAAGAUUCUUAUGUUGACCGUUCAAUGAGUUUACAAUGUGAAUAAAAGCGAUUUCUUUUAUGGAAAUUUUUCUGUAAAAAAUCUUAAAGAUUUUUCAUGGAAAAUUCCGAAAAUAUUUUGAUAACACUAAGAUGUUGGACUGUUAUGAAUUAAAAUGAAAAUAGUGCAUAUUCUGUGACCUAUUUCACUCAUUGUGAAAUAAGUGUCCUGCAUAUAAAUACCAUAGAAAAUGUGUUUAUUGCCGUGAAAUGUAAACUGUAUGCAAAUUUGCAUAGACAAUCAUAUUUUGCAAUACAUUUCAUACUGUCCAUUCAUACUAAAACAAGAGUUUAAUUGGUAUAUCAUAAUUUCUAUGUUACAAGAAAUUUUAUCAUAAAAUCCUUUAUCUGUGCCGGUUUUAUUUUUUAUUAAACGAAAGAUGAUUAAAGAAAAUCAUAAAUCUUAGAGAAGCUUUAUUUUCUUCAUUAUCUACAUCCACGUGCAUGAUAUUAAAUUUCGCGCGUUGUAUUUCGUGCAUCUUAAUUAAAUCCCAUGAGAUACUAUAAUCAAAAACAAAACCACCCAAUAAGACAAACAUUUAUGUGGGGAGAUAAUAGAAGCAAUAAAUCAAUUAAUUGUCUCACAACAAUUGUCUGUUGGGUACUAAUUAUAUACAAUAGGGUGGUAAAUGCGUGCUAUCUACAUUACUGGAGGUGACAGAUAUUGCUAAAUACAUUCUCAAAUUUAACCUAUAUAUAUAUAUAUAGCAAUUAUUGUCAUUUUAAAAUCAUCAUCCGUGUUUCCUUCUUGUAAUUAACUUGAAGAUAUUUAACGAAUUUCUUCACUUCUAGCUUAAUAGUUAAGCAAUAAAUUAUAACUAUACUUUUAUAUGACAAAAUGUAGCAAAAUUGAUAAAAGAAACAUUUAGGGAAAUAAUAUUUGUACCCUGUUGCUCUUAACUCCUACACAAUACUGAAAUGAAAACUUUGUCCUAUCUAAUUACAUUAGCAAUUUACGUCUUUUCUUGCUCAUACCGGAGUACAUAAACCACCACACACCGGUGCGGUAGAGGGAAUGUGAUUUUGUGCUUUCAAAACUUUUCCUGGGGCUUCUUAGAAAACUUAGGUACUGUGUCUUCCACAGAAUACUUCCAUUUCUCCCGAGAUUAGUGGAUGAGCAACACCACACAACGGCGGAAACACGUAGGAUUCACAAGACAUAUGAGAUAUAUGCAAAAUAAUUUGCUUUACAAUAAAUCCUGUACUUACUUCAUCUUCACUUGGCAAUUUACAAAAAUAUACAUACAUAUAAUAUUCUCUAACCUAUAUUCCAACUUUGUCGGAGAGUUGGUUUUGUAUUCAACACAAAAAGCAAUAAUUCAUUUACUUGCAUGAAUCGAAUUCUAUAGGACAACUUUAUUAAAAAUUCAAAAAAAAAACGGAAAUCUGUGUUCUCUAAGAUAGUUUCGAUCAAUGAUUUCUAGAGGUUCUAGAAAAAUUAAUAUUUGAAUGAAAUUUAAACACUCUUGAUUAUUAUUAGAGUUUUUUAAUGACCAAAAAUCGCAAAAAAAAUCUUUUUAAUUUUCCUUGAAAUGGCAGUGUUCUUGUUCUUAGAACAUGCCUUUCUGCUCCACAAUUAAUUUAGGUACUCAACUAUUUUUGCUUGAAUAGAGCAUCAAAGGGUUUCUUGUACACAUAAUUUCCAUGUUUUGGGGUGAAAUGUUGUGGUUCAUGCGGUAAGAAUUUUGACCACUUUGAGAUGCCACUUCAGGUGGAAGGUAAUUAAUGUGAUGCAUCCAAUAAAUUAUUCCAAUUAAUUUGCUUUUCCUACCUACUUAAAGUCCUUUGUUUUCCUUUCUAACCCUGUUUCACAAAAUAAUCAAAGGCACAUUUUCCUCUUCAAUGGGCGUCAGUGUUUCAUUUUCUUGCUUUCAAUUUCGGAUGAUUCUUAGUAGGAGAAAGAAACUAAAAGAAUAUUCAGAGUGUACACAUACAAAUACAUAUAUAGGUACCUAGCUUCAAUAAAUAAAAGAAGAAUCUUCAGGUUGAGCAUCACGAAAGGUGAAUAAAAAUACCUUGAAAAGCUUUAGAAGUUAAAAAGAAAAGCUCACCAUAGGGUUCUUUGUCGUUUCCCCAUCAACUUUCACCAACCAAUGAUAUCCAUCUGCACACUCGAAAUGAGACAAUUGAAAUGCCACAAUGAGGAAUGAGAUUCCCGGUUUAUGGCGUAAAAGAGGAAGAAGUGUUGGAUGACGUUGGAGAGUACAAACAAAGUUUUCCAUUGCUUCAUUACUUACGGCUCAAUAAACACUAAGGAAAUUAAAAUCGAUCCUUCUUCUCUCUCAGGAAAUUCUGAUGAAUGAGAGAAUACGAACGAGAAGCGAUUUUAGGUGGUAGAAAGAUAAACAAUCUCAAUGGAAAUGAGCUUUUUUUCUUUUCCAUAGGAAGACUUACAUAGUUUUCGCUAUAUAUGUAGUACAUAUCUUCUUUUCUCAAACUUUUUACAAUUGUUUUAUUUGUCUUGAAAGUUUUUUUUUUUUUUUUUGAGAGAGAAUUUGGCCACAUUUUCACAUUUGGCUGUUGGUGGUAUAACGAUUCUUUUUGGUAUUAUCAAGAACAAAUCUUUAGCACUACUUUGUGGGAGUUCUAUCAACUUAGAACUUCUUCAUUGACUAAUACUUUCCUCUAUCUCAAAGAAGAAUAAAUCUUUUUUUAAACACCUUUAAAAGAUUCAAUUAAAAUAAUCAAAAAGGACUUUAUUCAUAUUGUUGUCACACAGUGUAAUGAAAUUCCAUAAGUUAACAUUACUUAAAUAUAUACCUACAUAAAUAUGUACAUAAAGUAAUACUGUGUUUGUGUAAAAUAAUGUCCCAAAAUAGAUGAAAACGGUAGUUUUAGUUAACGAGAAAGUAAGUAAAAGGGAAACUUUAGAAUGUUAAUUUUCCUUUUGAGCGUACCGCAUAUUCAAAAUAAUGACACAAUAAAGGGUAUAAAAUGGUGGAUGUUAUAUAUAGAGAUGAGUGGUGAAUGUAGGACGUGGGGUUUGUUAAUAUAAUUCCGUCAAAUAUUUAUGGCUUUGCGAAAAUAUUGUGUGCGUAUCCUCAAUACAAUUGUGUUCCGCAGUAAGGUUAAGAUUUUUUUUUCUAUUGAAAGUGUACUUAAAGGACGUUACGUAAAAUGGGAGAAGACUUAAAUCUAAACUAUUUUUUGGAACAAUUUAGAAAACUUUGUUAAUCUAGGUUUUAUGGUUCUGAAAAAAAAACCCAUGAUUUUUCCCGAUUUUUUAAUCAAAAUUGAAUGUUCAAUUUUGAUAAUUUGCAUAAUGUCCUUUUUCAAGAAACAAAAAAUAUAUAUUUUUAAAUUAUCUAUUACAUUAAUAAAUAACAAAAAUUAAAAA